rnacentral:rRNA from 1 species
GACAGAGGGUGCUAGCGUUGUUCGGAAUUACUGGGCGUAAAGGGCGCGUAGGCGGCUUGUUUAGUCGGGUGUGAAAUCCCGGGGCUCAACCCCGGAACUGCAUUCGAUACUGGCAGGCUAGAGACCGGAAGAGGUGGGUGGAAUACCCAGUGUAGAGGUGAAAUUCGUAGAUAUUGGGUGGAACACCGGUGGCGAAGGCGACUACCUGGCCUGUUUCUUGACGCUGAGGCGCGAAAGCUAGGGGAGCAAACGGG